CUAAUGAAAAAGUCUACUGUAAUACAGAUAUUGCUGGACUUCUUUGUUCGCUAUUGAGUUUUUACCUUCGACGAUUUUGCAGUGAAUAAGAUUGAUCGGUAAUCAAGAAAGAAAGAGAGAGAGAACACUGGAGUUCAUUGUGACCCUAUUAAAGAAGUCUACUGUGAUGCAAUUCUUCCUGGACUUUUACACGUUCUCUGUUGAUCUUCCACAUGGACGAUUUUGCAGUAAAUUAAGAUUGUCCCACAAAUGAGAAGGAAUUGCAGUUAAUUUUGAUGCUACUGAAACAACCGAUGCUUUUUGAUUGGAAGCGACUAGUAGAACAAUUUGUCUGCAGUGGUAUCCCUCCUAGUUUGGUUUACUCAUCACACUGGCAGACUUUAGAACGCCAUUUUCUACAAUUAAUUAAGGUGAGAAUACAUGACUUCAUUGAUAUUAAAUGCUCUUUAUUAAUCUGUUAUGAAAUUUCUGUUAACAAUUUACAUGUAUGUAUCUCUUGACAGUUUUUAUUUUCCACAGAAGAAAUUGACAUUUAUCAUUGAUCUAUGGAGUUUCGUUUUAAUCUUUUUCUAUUGUCUGCAUCGUAAAUUGUCGUCGUGAUCUAUGGUUGUAAUGUAAAAUGGCGUGAAAGUAACGCUUGUUAUUUUAUAAUUUAGCUAUUUUUACUUGCUUUUUGAUGCGUUUUUAUUUGUGUUUCUUAAUUAUAAG